rnacentral:rRNA from 1 species
UACAGAGGGCGCGAGCGUUGUCCGGAAUCACUGGGCGUAAAGGGCGCGUAGGUGGCCACCAUAAGGCCGCGGUGAAAGUUCGGGGCUCAACCCCGGAUCGGCCGCGGCGACUGUGGGGCUUGGGUACUGUAGAGGCAGAUGGAAUUCCGGGUGUAGCGGUGGAAUGCGUAGAGAUCCGGAAGAACACCAGUGGCGAAGGCGGGUCUCUGAGCAGUAACUGACGCUGAGGAGCGAAAGCGUGGGGAGCGAACAGG